rnacentral:rRNA from 1 species
AUUUUCCACAAUGGGCGAAAGCCUGAUGGAGCAACGCCGCGUGCAGGAUGAAUGCCUUCGGGUUGUAAACUGCUUUUAUAUGUGACGAAUAUGACGGUAGCAUAUGAAUAAGGAUCGGCUAACUCCGUGCCAGCAGCCGCGGUAAUACGGAGGGAGCGAGCGUUGUUCGGAAUUACUGGGCGUAAAGCGUAUGUAGGCGGCUUUGUAAGACAGGCGUGAAAUCCCGGGGCUUAACCUCGGAACUGCGUUUGUGACUGCAAGGCUUGAGGAUCGGAGAGGUUGGCGGAAUUCCUAGUGUAGAGGUGAAAUUCGCAGAUAUUAGGAGGAACACCGAUGGCGUAAGCAGCCAACUGGACGAUUACUGACGCUGAGAUACGAAAGCGUGGGGAGCAAACAGG